GAGCUGUGAUAUUAUUGAACAUACUGUGAUACUUGGGUCUUCACAACUUUCUGAUAUGGGAUGAAAAUCUGUGCUUCUGAGCUC
rnacentral:snoRNA from 1 species